rnacentral:rRNA from 1 species
UACGUAGGGUGCAAGCGUUUGUCCGGAAUUAUUGGGCGUAAAGAGCUCGUAGGCGGCUUGUCGCGUCGGCUGUGAAAACCUGGGGCUCAACCCCGGGCCUGCAGCCGAUACGGGCAAGCUAGAAUUCGGUAGGGGAGACUGGAAUUCCUGGUGUAGCGGUGAAAUGCGUUGAUAUCCUAAGGAACACCCGUGGCGAAAGCGGCUCACUGGGUCUCUUCUGACGCUGAGGCACGAAAGCUAGGGUAGCGAACGGG